AUACGGGGGGGACAAGCGUUGUUCGGAUUCACUGGGCGUAAAGGGCGCGUAGGCGGACCUUCAAGUCGGAUGUGAAAACUGGCAGCUUAACUGCCAGCCUGCAUUCGAUACUGUCGGUCUUGAGUACAGUAGAGGAGAGCGGAAUUCCAGGAGUAGCGGUGAAAUGCGUAGAUAUCUGGAAGAACACCAGUAGCGAAGGCGGCUCUCUGGACUGAUACUGACGCUAAAGCGCGAAGGCUUGGGUAGCAAACAGGAGUAGAAACCCCAGUAGUCC
rnacentral:rRNA from 1 species